CAGGGAGUUUUCCUCCUUCCCCCUGCACAGUCUGUAAUUCCCUGGUAUUAUAACAUGUCAUUUUUCUAGCAUACCUGAGGAGCCAGGAAAUAAUGUCUGAGCCUAGAGGGACAGCAACGAUGGAACCUCCAAAGAGGCGAGAGAUGGAGAGAUUAGAGCAAGAAACGAAGCCAGCGGAUGCUGCCAGUUCCCAUCACCUAAUCAAAGCUGCUCCGUGGAAGGGCCGCCUCGUUAUUACAUCCCAUUAUAGCCUCCGGCAGCGGCUGUACUUCAUAACCGCCCAGGAAAGCUGACAGAGAACAAAGCUGUCCUCCAGGAACAAAGAAAGGAGAAUGGUCUGUGACUGGGGGGAAGGCAGAGCACGGCUGUGGGGAGGAGAUGAAGCCAAGAGACACCAGCAAAGCUGCCAGGACUCAGUGGAUAGACAAACCUCCCAGUGUGGUAAAUAAAACCCCAGUUGAUGGUUGAAAUAAUGGCUGGGUCCAUCAGUGCUGCUCCAAACAUUGCCUGACCAUGUGCUGCCGCAUCUAAAGACCAAGGAAGAGCUGCAGCCAGCCUUGGCUGCAAUUGCUCAGUUUCUUCAACACCAUCCUGUGUGGUUGUAAGGAAAAAAGGGGGCUUAGACCUGGGUUUCCAGCUGUUGUGCCUGGGUUUGCUGAGCUGCCCUCAUGGGCUGUCCUUCAGGGCUUUGCUCGCAGCCUCAGCUCUCGGCAAAAUGCCGCAGACAAAACCCUGACGCCGAUUUCCCCCAGCAGCGUGUUCAGCACCUGAGGCUUCCCUGCCAGCUCAGCCAGCAAAGCAAGAGCUGCCUUUUGAUGCUGUGCAGUUAAUCCCUGC